rnacentral:rRNA from 1 species
GGAAUUUUCCGCAAUGGGCGAAAGCCUGACGGAGCAACGCCGCGUGAGGGAUGAAGGCCUCUGGGCUGUAAACCUCUUUUAUCAAGGAAGAAGACCUGACGGUACUUGAGGAAUAAGCCACGGCUAAUUCCGUGCCAGCAGCCGCGGUAAUACGGGAGUGGCAAGCGUUAUCCGGAAUUAUUGGGCGUAAAGCGUCCGCAGGCGGUCUUGUAAGUCUGUCGUUAAAGCGUGGAGCUUAACUCCAUUUGAGCGAUGGAAACUGCAAGACUAGAGUGUGGUAGGGGCGGAGGGAAUUCCCGGUGUAGCGGUGAAAUGCGUAGACAUCAGGAAGAACACCAGUGGCGAAGGCGCUCUGCUGGGCCAUAACUGACGCUCAUGGACGAAAGCCAAGGGAGCGAAAGGGAUUAGAUACCCCUGUAGUC